rnacentral:rRNA from 1 species
UACAGAGGUCUCAAGCGUUGUUCGGAUUCAUUGGGCGUAAAGCGCACGUAGGCGGAUGUGUCAGUCAGGGGUGAAAUCCCGGAGCUCAACUUCGGAACUGCCCUUGAUACAGCACGUCUUGAGUCCGGAAGAGGUGGGUGGAAUUCCUAGUGUAGAGGUGAAAUUCGUAGAUAUUAGGAAGAACACCGGUGGCGAAGGCGGCCCACUGGUCCGGUACUGACGCUGAGGUGCGAAAGCGUGGGGAGCAAACAGG